AAACCAUGGUGUGGGCAUUGAGCUUGGUAGCCCUUCAAUCUCUCCCAGACUUCACUGAAUCCUUCAAAGUUCUUCUGUUGAAAGCUGAAAAUCUCAUUUCUCAGCUU
rfam:Brassica oleracea var. oleracea cultivar TO1000 chromosome C9, whole genome shotgun sequence